GAGCUCGCUUCAGCAGCACACAUACUAGCAUUGGAAUGAUGCAGAGAAGAUUCACAUGACCCCUAUGCAAGGAUGAUGGGUGAAAUUUUUAUGUGAACGUGAUACAA
ensembl:snRNA U6 U6 spliceosomal RNA